GACGAACGCUGGCGGCGUGCUUAACACAUGCAAGUCGAACGGAAAGGCCCUGCUUUUGUGGGGUGCUCGAGUGGCGAACGGGUGAGUAACACGUGAGUAACCUGCCCUUGACUUUGGGAUAACUUCAGGAAACUGGGGCUAAUACCGGAUAGGAGCUCCUGCUGCAUGGUGGGGGUUGGAAAGUUUCGGCGGUUGGGGAUGGACUCGCGGCUUAUCAGCUUGUUGGUGGGGUAGUGGCUUACCAAGGCUUUGACGGGUAGCCGGCCUGAGAGGGUGACCGGCCACAUUGGGACUGAGAUACGGCCCAGACUCCUACGGGAGGCAGCAGGGGGGAAUAUUGCACAGUGGGAGGAAGCCUGAUGCAGCAACGCCGCGGGCGGGAUGACGGCCUUCGGGUUGUAAACCGCUUUCGCCUGUGACGAAGCGUGAGUGACGGUAAUGGGUAAAGAAGCACCGGCUAACUACGUG
rnacentral:rRNA from 1 species